rnacentral:rRNA from 1 species
GAUGAACGCUAGCGGGAGGCCUAACACAUGCAAGCCGAGCGGUAUUUGUUCUUCGUAACAGAGAGAGCGGCGCACGGGUUCGUAACGCGUGUGCAACCUUCCUUUAUCUGGGUGAUAGCCUUUCGAAAGUACGAUUAAUACCCCAUAAUAUAUUUAGUGGCAUCACUUGAUAUUUAAAACUCCUGUGUAUAUAGAUGUGCACUCGCAAGAUUAGAUAGUUGGUGAGGUAACGUCUCACCAUGUCAAUGAUCUUUAGGGGGCCUGAUAGUGUGAUCCCCAACAAUGGUACUGAGACACGGACGAGACUCCGACGGGAGGCAGCAGUGAGGAAUAUUAGACAAAGGAUUAGCGCCUGAACCAGCCAUCCCGCGUGAAGGACGACGGCCCUAUGGGUUGUAAACUUCUUUUGUAUAGGGAUAAACCUACUCUCGUGAGAGUAGCUGAAGGUACUAUACGAAUAAGCACCGGCUAACUACGUG